UAGGGAAUCUUCGGCAAUGGACGGAGGUCUGACCGAGCAACGCCGCGUGAGUGAAGAAGGUUUUCGGAUCGUAAAGCUCUGUUGUAAGAGAAGAACGAGUGUGAGAGUGGAAAGUUCACACUGUGACGGUAUCUUACCAGAAAGGGACGGCUAACUACGUGCCAGCAGCCGCGGUAAUACGUAGGUCCCGAGCGUUGUCCGGAUUUAUUGGGCGUAAAGCGAGCGCAGGCGGUUAGAUAAGUCUGAAGUUAAAGGCUGUGGCUUAACCAUAGUAGGCUUUGGAAACUGUUUAACUUGAGUGCAAGAGGGGAGAGUGGAAUUCCAUGUGUAGCGGUGAAAUGCGUAGAUAUAUGGAGGAACACCGGUGGCGAAAGCGGCUCUCUGGCUUGUAACUGACGCUGAGGCUCGAAAGCGUGGGGAGCAAACAGGAUUAGAUACCCUGGUAGUCCACGCUGUAAACGAUGAGUGCUAGGUGUUAGACCCUUUCCGGGGUUUAGUGCCGUAGCUAACGCAUUAAGCACUCCGCCUGGGGAGUACGACCGCAAGGUU
rnacentral:rRNA from 1 species